rnacentral:rRNA from 1 species
CUAUACAUGCAGUCGAGCGGGAGAAUCAUCCUUCGGGAUGAGGAUCCAGCGGCGAACGGGUGAGUAAUGGGAACUCUCCCCAAACCCGGGAUAAUGCGGGAAACGGGGUAAUACCAGGGUGCCUUUCCCCCGCAGGAAAAGGGAAAGGGGUUUGGUUCCACUUGGGGAUGGGCCCCCGGCCUUAAAGUGGUUGGUGAGGGUACGUCACCAAGGGGCGCGUGCGUGCCCCUUAAGAGGGUGAUUCGGCCCCUGGGAAUGAGACCGGCCCCAAUCUACGGGAGGCCACAGUAGGGAAUUUUCCGCAAUGGGGAAAGCCUGAGGAGCAACGCCGCUGAGUGAGGACGGCCUUCGGGUUGUAAAACUCUGUUCUUGAGGAAGAAUUCCUUCCAGGCGAACAGCCUGGAAGGUUGACGGUACUCAAGGAGAAAGCCCCGGCUAACUACGUGCCAGCAGCCGCGGUAAUACGUAGGGGGCGAGCGUUAUCCGGAAUUAUUGGGCGUAAAGCGCGCGCAGGCGGCUGAUUAAGUCAGGUGUGAAAGGCUGCGGCUCAACCGCAGAGCGGCACCUGAAACUGGUCAGCUUGAGUGCAGGAGAGGGGAGCGGAAUUCCCGGUGUAGCGGUGGAAUGCGUAGAGAUCGGGAGGAACACCAGUGGCGAAGGCGGCUCUCUGGCCUGUAACUGACGCUGAGGCGCGAAAGCGUGGGGAGCAAACAGGAUUAGAUACCCUGGUAGUCCACGCCGUAAACGAUGAGUGCUAGGGUUUGGGGGGGGCUCCCCCUCAUGCCAAGGUAACCCAUUAAGCCACUCCCCGGGGAUACGGCCCAAGGCUAAACUCAAAGGAAUUGACGGGGGCCCCACAACCGGUGACAGUGGUUUAAUUCAACACCGCG